UUUUCUUGUUUCCGUCUUUCUUUCAUUGUGUCGUCCCUUCCUACCUUUUUUCUUUCUUUUUUUUUCCUUUCUCCUGCGGCACCGAAUGUUUCUUUCCAGCAGCAGAACACACGUGAACAACAGCGCAAGUUGAUCGUUAUGUGCAGCCUCUCACUCUUGAAGGGCGGUUCUUUCAGUAAUUCCGUGUAUCACUAAGUUGGCGGUGCUGGUGAUAGCUCAUUCCUGGCCGGGAUCUACAUUGACUUAAUUCCUCCACUCUUAAUUGACACCGUGGAUUGAAUAGACAGAGUUAAGUAAUGUUGCAAGUGUUACGUGUUGAGGGGUCUCAUUUGUGUUUGAUUUUACAAGAUUAGUGCUUAGGGGACUUUUGUGUUUGUGCCCUUGAGCUGCUUCCUUUAAUAAAAAAAAAAAAAAAAAUACAAAGGAUGGCACUAAAGUUGGAGAUGGUGUUGGUGGGUCGGGGUUAGGAUGGUGAUGGUGGGGGCGGUGCCUAGGUGACCCUCAAAGCCCGGUCCUUAGCCUCAUGUACACGUUUACGACCUGUAUAAACUGCGUCGUGCAAGGCUAAAUCAUUUAUUCCCAUGUUUGUCGGCCGCGCCAGGAAAGGAAGUCCAGUUGUCGCCUCCCAAGAUAGAUUAAGGAUUCAGCGACUCUCGAGGGCGGGAGGGCGGAGGGAAAAAAUGUGGUACGGUCUGGUAAAUCGGAUGUGCAAUUCAAGACAAACAAUGGAGAAUCAAUCACAAGGAACCUGACUUCGAGAUAUGAAUACACGAGUGUGUGAGUGAGUGAGCCUUGCGUCAUCCCUUGAAGACUGACGAGCUAUUCAACCACAAACUUUACUUAUUUUCCGGUGAAGCGAUGCAGGCACGCGGCGGGGAAAGCUAACGGGACGCGGGUCGCUUUUGUCAGACGCUUCCACCUCUCACAUCAACUAUUUCCAGAGGCAGAAUAGGAGAUCAGGCGGGUUCAAAUGAACGUUUCUUCACGUUCAUGGUAUAGAAAAACGGUCAAACUAACGGAAGGGUCAUAAAACUAUCCCUGGAAAUGCUCGAAACUCUCAGCCUUGUCAAUGUUUAUGUGCUUGGGCCGAAAAGGAGAUCAAUCGGGUGCACAUCAGUGUUUCUUCACGUUCAUGGUAAAGAAUAACGGUCAAACUAAUGGAAGGGUUAUGAAACUACCCCUGGAAGUGUUCGAAACUCUCAGCCUUGUCAAAGAUAUGUGCUUGGGCCGAUAAGGAGAUCAAUCGGGUGCAAAUCAGUGUUUCUUCACGUUCAUGGUAUAGAAGAACGGUCAAACUAACGGAAGGGUUAUGAAACUAUCCCUGGAAAUGCUAGAAACUCUCAGCCUUGUCAAAGAUAUGUGCUUGGACCGAUAAGGAGAUCAAUCGGGUGCAAAUCAGUGUUUCUUCACGUUCAUGGUAUAGAAGAACGGUCAAACUAAUGGAAGGGUUAUGAAACUACCCCUGGAAGUGCUCGAAACUCUCAGCCUUGUCAAAUACGUGUCCUUGGGCGCCGAAAUGUUUAAAAAAUAUGACCCCACAGAGUCGCAGUGAAGAACGUGUAUCCAAGGAAACAUCUAUCGUCACUGUGCUGAAGGUUAGAUGGGGUUCAUGUGAAGUAACGGAGGCGUAAUUAUGACUUGGGAUGCAAGGGAAGGACGUGAUAUUGUGAUUCUAGGAUAUACUAAGGCAUACUUUAUCGUUUGCCUUUCAUAUAAGUUUUUCUUUAUGUUACAGCAGAGGCAGAGUACUGUAUCGGAGGGAUUAGUUACGCUUGAUUCAUGUUCACGAUACAAAGUGCAGAAGAUCGUAAUAUUGUGAUCCUAGCAUGUAACAAAGGCAUGAUUUCUCGUUUUGCCACACAGAGGAGGUUUUUGUCAUGUUACAGCAGAGGAAAGGUAUUGUAACGGAGGGAUUAGUUACGCUUGAUUCAUGUUCACGAUACAAAGUGCAGAAGAUCGUAAUAUUGUGGUCCUUGCAUGUAACAAAGGCAUGAUUUCUCGUUUUGCCACACAGAGGAGGUUUUUGUCGUGUUACAGCAGAGGAAAUGUGUUGUAACGGAGGGAUUAGUUACGCUUGAUUCAUGUUCACGAUACAAAGUGCAGAAGAUCGUAAUAUUGUGAUCCUAGCAUGCAACAGUGGGCCGUGAUUUCUCGUUUUGCCACACAGAGGAGGUUUUUGUCGUGUUACAGCAGAGGAAAUGUAUUGUAACGGAGGGAUUAGUUACGCUUGAUUCAUGUUCACGAUACAAAGUGCAGAAGAUCGUCAUAUUGUGAUCCUAGCAUGUAACAAAGGCAUGAUUUCUCGUUUUGCCACACAGAGGAGGUUUUUGUCAUGUUACAGCAGAGGAAAUGUGUUGUAACGGAGGGAUUAGUUACGCUUGAUUCAUGUUCACGAUACAAAGUGCAGAAGAUCGUAAUUUUGUGAUCCUAGCAUGUAACAAAGGCAUGAUUUCUCGUUUUGCCACACAGAGGAGGUUUUUGUCGUGUUACAGCAGAGGAAGUGUAUUGUAUCGGAGGGAUUAGUUACGCUUGAUUCAUGUUCACGAUACAAAGUGCAGAAGAUCGUCAUAUUGUGGUCCUUGCAUGUAACAAAGGCAUGAUUUCUCGUUUUGCCACACAGAGGAGGUUUUUGUCGUGUUACAGCAGAGGAAAGGUAUUGUAACGGAGGGAUUAGUUACGCUUGAUUCAUGUUCACGAUACAAAGUGCAGAAGAUCGUAAUUUUGUGAUCCUAGCAUGCAACAGUGGGCCGUGAUUUCUCGUUUUCCCUACCCGAUUCUUCCCUUCCCUUCAUAUCUGUCCAUCCUCAGUUUCUCAGUUUCUUUUCCCAUUCCCUCCCCCUCUGAUCAAUUCCUUUCUUCCUUCCUUCCUUUUUUCCUGCCCUCCUUCCUUCCUCCCUUCUUACCUCCAUCCCUACUUCCUCGUUUUCUUCUUUUCGACUAUCCCUCUCUUCCCACCUCUCCCUCCUUCCCUCCUUCCGUAUACUCUCUCCAUUUUAUCUAUAUUUCUUUCCUCCCUCCUUCCUUCCCUUUUCUCUCCCAACUCGUUCUCAUCUUUCUCGUUUCCUCCUUCCCCCCUCCCCUCCUUUCAUCUCUCCCUCUCUCCCUCCCUCUCUCCCUUCUUCCCUCCCUCCCCUCCUUUCAUCUCUCCCUCCCUCCCUCUCUCCCCCCUCCAGCCCAGCCGAGUAAAGUGGGCAACACGCGAGCCUCUUCCUGCCUAUAUUAGUUUGGGAACCUCGAGACACGGCGGAAAAAAUAGCUUGUAAAACUUUUUUCGAAUUAUCAUUUUUGUCUUGCGCAUUGAUUAGGAUGGUGCUGAAGGGACGAUACGCACACACACACACACACACACACACACACACACACACACACACACACACGCACACACGCACGCACACGCACAUGUCUCCCUCCUUUCUUCCUUUCCUCCAUCCCUCCUUCCUUGUUUCCUUCUACCCGCCUAUCGUCUUCCUCCUCCCAGCUCUCCCUCCUUGCUUCCUUCCUUUACCCCCCCCCCCCCCACACACACACACACACGCAUACGUCUCCCUCCUGCAAACAAAUUGGUUGGCUUCAUCGGACGAGUCUUUAAUAAUAAAUCGGAAAAAGUAAUAUUAAAACUGUAUAAUUCGUUGGUUCGACCCCGUCUAGAGUACUGUGUACAGUUUUGGUCUCCCUAGUACAGAAAAGACAUAGAAAAGUUGGAACGGGUCCAACGAAGAGUAACAAAGAUGAUUCCUAGGUUGAGAAAUUUGUCAUAUGAACAAAGGCUUAAAGAAGUAAAUUUAUUCAGCCUAUCAAAACGAAGAA